GAGUAAUGUCUGGGAAACUGCCUGAUGGAGGGGGAUAACUACUGGAAACGGUAGCUAAUACCGCAUAACGUCGCAAGACCAAAGAGGGGGACCUUCGGGCCUCUUGCCAUCGGAUGUGCCCAGAUGGGAUUAGCUAGUAGGUGGGGUAAAGGCUCACCUAGGCGACGAUCCCUAGCUGGUCUGAGAGGAUGACCAGCCACACUGGAACUGAGACACGGUCCAGACUCCUACGGGAGGCAGCAGUGGGGAAUAUUGCACAAUGGGCGCAAGCCUGAUGCAGCCAUGCCGCGUGUAUGAAGAAGGCCUUCGGGUUGUAAAGUACUUUCAGCGGGGAGGAAGGGAGUAAAGUUAAUACCUUUGCUCAUUGACGUUACCCGCAGAAGAAGCACCGGCUAACUCCGUGCCAGCAGCCGCGGUAAUACGGAGGGUGCAAGCGUUAAUCGGAAUUACUGGGCGUAAAGCGCACGCAGGCGGUUUGUUAAGUCAGAUGUGAAAUCCCCGGGCUCAACCUGGGAACUGCAUCUGAUACUGGCAAGCUUGAGUCUCGUAGAGGGGGGUAGAAUUCCAGGUGUAGCGGUGAAAUGCGUAGAGAUCU
rnacentral:rRNA from 1 species